rnacentral:rRNA from 1 species
UAGGGAAUCUUCCACAAUGGGCGCAAGCCUGAUGGAGCAACACCGCGUGAGUGAAGAAGGGUUUCGGCUCGUAAAGCUCUGUUGUUAAAGAAGAAUGACAUUGAGAGUAACUGUUCAAUGUGUGACGGUAUCUUACCAGAAAGGAACGGCUAAAUACGUGCUAG